AUGUCUGAGCGUUACCGUCUGGGCAGAACUAUUGUUCCAGUCACCAAAGAUAGAUUUGCAAAUAACCUGCCUUAUCUAUCUCAACUGCUAUUUGUACCCAAAAAUACACAUGAAUUAGACGAAAUGACUGACAACAUGGGCACUAUUUUCUCUAAUACAUUAGAAGCUGUUGCCCCCAUCAAAUUUAAAAAGGUUAGAGAAAAACGUACUGUGCCAUGGUAUAACAGUAAUACUCACUCUCUCAAGAAAGUAACUCAUAGUCUUGAACGCAAAUGGAGAAAAACUAACUUGGAAGUUUUUAGAAUUGCAUGGAAAAACAGUAUGUCCAGCUAUAGACAGGCUCUAAAAACUGCUAGGGCAGAGCAUAUACACAAACUCAUUGAAAAUAACCAAAACAAUCCAAGGUUUUUAUUUAGCACAGUGGCUAAAUUAACAAAUUACCAGACGCCACCUGAUUCAAAUAUUCCACCAACGUUUAAUAGUAAUGACUUUAUGAAUUUCUUCACUGAUAAAAUAGAUAACAUUAGAAAUACAAUAGCAAAUGUAGAUUCUACAGCGUGUAACACUUCAGUUUCAUCCAUGGCACCCAAAGAUAAACUGCAGUACUUUACAACUAUAGGACAGGAAGAACUAAAACUUAUCAACGUAUCUAAACCAACAUGUUUAUUAGAUCCUGUACCCACUAAAUUACUGAAAGAGUUGUUACCUGUAGCCGAAGAACCGCUUCUCAAUAUCAUUAACUCGUUGUUAUCUUUAGGUCACGUCCCAAAACCAUUCAAGCUGGCGGUUAUUAAGCCUCUUAUUAAGAAACCAAAACUAGAUCCUAGUGUACUGGCAAAUUAUAGGCCUAUUUCAAAUCUUCCAUUUAUGUCAAAAAUAUCUGCUUUGAGGUAUAACUGGAAAGCGCUCAGACAUUGCAGGACCUCCGCAACGUGGCGACGAUGUUCCGCUAGAACAUUGUUCGGGAGGCAGACACACUCUUGCAGUUUAAAUCUAGAUAAAAAGACCCAUCUCUUUAACCUGGCUUACACAUAA
rnacentral:lncRNA from 1 species